rnacentral:rRNA from 1 species
ACGGGAGGCAGCAGUGGGGGAUAUUGCACAAUGGGGGAAACCCUGAUGCAGCGACGCCGCGUGAGUGAAGAAGUAUUUCGGUAUGUAAAGCUCUAUCAGCAGGAAAGAUAAUGACGGUACCUGACUAAGAAGCACCGGCUAAAUACGUGCCAGCAGCCGCGGUAAUACGUAUGGUGCAAGCGUUAUCCGGAUUUACUGGGUGUAAAGGGCGCGUAGGCGGGAAAGCAAGUCAGAUGUGAAAUCCAUGGGCUCAACUCAUGAACUGCAUUUGAAACUGUUUUUCUUGAGUGUCGGAGAGGUAGAUGGAAUUCCUAGUGUAGCGGUGAAAUGCGUAGAUAUUAGGAAGAACACCAGUGGCGAAGGCGAUCUACUGGACGAUAACUGACGCUGAGGCGCGAAAGCGUGGGGAGCAAACAGGAUUAGAUACCCUGGUA